UACAGAGACUGCAAGCGUUAUUCGGAUUCACUGGGCGUAAAGGGUGCGCAGGCGGCCGUGUGUGUAAGGUGUGAAAUCCCGAGGCUCAACCUCGGAACUGCGCCUUAAACUACAUGGCUAGAGUAUUGGAGAGGGUAACGGAAUUCACGGUGUAGCAGUGAAAUGCGUAGAUAUCGUGAGGAACACCAGAGGCGAAGGCGGUUACCUGGACAAUUACUGACGCUCAUGCACGAAAGCGUGGGGAGCAAACAGG
rnacentral:rRNA from 1 species